rnacentral:rRNA from 1 species
GACGAACGCUGGCGGCGUGCUUAACACAUGCAAGUCGAACGAAGUGGCGAACGGGUGAGUAAUACGGGAGUAACCUGCCCUCCUUUUUGGGAUAAGCCUUGGAAACGGGGUCUAAUACCGAAUAAAGGGGGAUGGGCUCGAGGACUAUCAGCUUGGUGGUGGGGUGGUGGGCUACCAAGGCGGUGACGGGGAGCCGGGCUGGGAGGGUGACCCGCCACAUGGGGAGUGGGAGGCGGCCCAGACUCCGACGGGAGGCAGCAGUGGGGGAGAUUGCACAAUGGGCGAAAGCCUGAAGCACGGACGCAGCGUGGGGGAUGCAGGCUUUCGGGUUGUAAACCUCUUUCGCGUUCGAACGGGUAGGUGGAGAAGAAGCGCCGGCUAACUACGUGCCAGCAGCCGCGGUAAUUC